ACAUCUCAUAACCGAAAAUAGAAAAAUAUUUCCCCCGUUUUCUUCAACCUAAAACCCCUGCAUUUUCUCUCUCAUGUUUCGCUCCAAUUUCUCCACAAUUUCUACCAUUUUCUUCAUAUUUCUCGUUGCAAUUUCCUAAUAUUCUUCUUAUUCUUCCUUAAAUUAUCUAUCAACCGAAAAAUUUACCAAAAUCGGAUCAAAAAAUUUUGUGAAAUUAAACCCUAGACAUUUCAAAUUCGAGUGAAAAACGAAUGGAUCGGAACCGAGAGAAUUCUUGUGAUGUAACAUGCAAAUUAACAAGAUGAUGUGCAAGUUAUUCAAGCAAAUUCUCCUACCGAAUAAGAUCCUCCUACAAUUCGCCUCAAACAAGGGAAGACACAUUCCCUGCUGUUGGGGAAGACUCUUCAGAAGAAAUCGAGGUUCAGUCUCAGGACGUAAGGCGUGAAUGUGUGAUGCCCUCCGAUUAAUUGGGGUAGUCAUGUUUUUUUGUUUUUUUUAAGGAUAGGAAAUUCUUCUUUCAUGCUAAUACCAGUGUAUUACACAAUGAUUAGUUGCUUGUUAAUUGUUUUACUUGGACUUUUUAAAACUAUUGAUUCAGUGACAAACAUACUCAGGACUAUCAUCUUUUUUAAUCAAUGAGAAAGCCGCCAAAACAAUGAGUUGUGCUUCCAUGCCUGGCUGCAGUAUUGCGAUACAUUCAUGUGCUUCCAUGCCUGGAUGCAGUAUUUGCGAUACAUCGACUAUUUUAUUCCAUGAAGCCCUUUGAAUGAUUAUGUUUUUCCUUUCAAUGUUAUUGUUGUUCGGGUUAAAGUAGUCUAAUGAACUAAAUGCAGCCACAUUCUGGCUUUGUUGCUAAAAUCUACUUCUUCACGUAUACUAUCGAGCUAAAGCUUUCUGUGGAGCUGCUGGAAAAAGAAAGAGACUUCUACUUUGGAAAACUGAGGGAUAUUGAAAUGCUUUGUCAGGCUUCUGAAGCGGAUAAAUUGCCGCGGAAAUACAUUAGCAAGCAAUGUGAUGACGAAGAUGAUGAUGCGCGAGUUAUUGGAGCAAAUUGGAGAAAAAUCUGAAAAUGAAGAAGAUCCUCCAAUAAUACUGUUGCAUAUGGAUUUUGGAAGGUGCACUUGUAUAAUAAUGAAGGAAACUGCACGUCCAGGAUUUGGUGGUGGUUCACUUUACUCUUUGUCCACCGAUGUUAAUGGUUGGUGCUCCAACAUGGACUGUGGUAUAGGCAGGCUAAUUGUGCCCCAUGUCAAUUGAAUGGUAAAGGUGCAGUGGCUUGUUAAUCUGUCUCAGACAUCAAUUUCUCACCUCCCAAGUUCCUUACAUUGCUGAUGUAAGUAUCUUCUGCAAUUUAUUCUUUCGUUUUCCCUAGAGCUCUAAUUAUAACUUUUUGUACUCAAUAAUCAACUCCUUUUCCUUGUAUUUGCACGGACUACUUAAAUAGGUCCAGUGACAAUCCUGGUGAAGUUUUCUGUUUCUUAGGUUUGAGCCCAUCAUUCAGGUAAGGUUAAGUAGUUAAGUAGAAAUUGUGUUUUAUUUAAUAUAAAUGAACACGUGUAGCUAUUUGGCUGCUUGCUUCCUGCAUUGAAUAAUAGAUUUCUCCUGUAUAUGUCACAAGUUCACCCACAAAGAAGUUGGAGGUUUGUUCAAGGAUUUGGUAAUUGUGGUUUCAGUUGCUCUAAUAUAAAAUACACAGGUAGAGGGGUGUUGUAGUGACAACCCCCACUUAAUGCACUAGCUGCCUGUAUAAAAAAAGGUUGGGGGGAGGGGGAGAGGUGUUGUAGUGACAACCCCACUUAUUGUACUAGCUGCCUGUACAAAAACGGAUAAUUCAUUAGUAGUGGAAGCGAAAAUAGCAGCUCAUGAAUAGUUGGAUUCGACUCCUCUUGAUUUUUUUUGUGAAUGAGCUGAAUUUUAAAUCAAUGUUAUAAUUUGAGUACUGGACAAGCUGAAUUAGAAAUCAGUGAACUCAGUUUCUAGUUCAUGAGCCCUAAGAAAAGUAAUUUUGAAGAUGCUUUCUUAGAACACAAGGAGUAUGAUUUGGAACAUAUAUCAUGAGUUUUAGAACAUAUGUCAUGAGUUUUAGAACAUAUAGUUGUUGGUGCAUGCUGUUUGUUUUGCGAGGAGGGCUAUUGCGAGUCAGUCUGGGGCGGUGUGUUUGCAGUUAUUGACUGUUGGGCAGCUGUGCUGCUCUAUUCUACUUUUUUUGGUUGCUGUUGUCUGUUUUUUGUGUUUGUUGUUGAUUGUAGGGGUCAGAGGGUAGUAGUGGUUGUCAAUGCUUGUUGUUUUGGGACAAUGCCUAUUAGCUCAAUUGGUAGAGCUUCGUGUGAUUGCACAAUGAUGUAAGUUCGAAUCCUACAUAGGCAACUCUUUGUAUUCCGUUUAUGAUAGUAAUUCUCCUAUUUGAUGAUUCUUUACUUCUGAAUCACUUCUAUUUACUUUUGAAUAAGUUCUAUUUACUUUAGAACAUAUGUAUAAAAUUUUAGAACACUAGCUUUAGUUUUUAGAACAUAAAGUCAAAAAUAUUUAGAACAUAAACAACGCUUAUUUUAAAAUUUUGAGUUGCAUUAUAUUUCAACUUUUAAAAGAAAAGAGGUUAGUUACAUACUUGGGUUCUGCAGGAUAUUGUCAUAGAAACCUAGUUGGCUGAAACAUAUUGCAUUGCUUUCAUUGGAAACUAAUGUCUUUCGACUGCUUUUAUAAAAAAAACAAUUUUAGAAUAUAUAUAUGCAAUGAUAAUUUAGAACACAUGUAAUACUAUUUAGAAAAUCAGAGUUAAAAGUUAGAACAUGGCUCAAAGAGGCUUUGUUAAACUCAAAUUACCUCCUAGAUGCAGAAUCAUCAUAAAUAAGUUAGCUUUAAAAAUAAAAAAGUGAAAAUACCCUUUAUUUAUCUCCAUAGGUUAAAUAAGUCGGAGCUAAGUUGUGUGUUCUAAAAAACCUAUAUAGGAUUUGAACCUAUAUCCAUGUGCAAUGGCACAUUGCUCUACCAUUUGAGCUAAUAGGUUUAACAAAAUAUUCAAGAAAAUAAUGCAUGUAGUAAAUUACAACAAUUAGAACAUAUGCUACAAGAAUUAGAACUUACGAAACAAUAAUUAGAACAUACGCAACAAUAAUUAGAACACACACAACUAGAUAACAUGCAAAAUAAAAUGGGAUCAUCCAGAUUCAUCAUUUACCCCUGCAUUGAACUAGACAACAGACAAGCAUUUAAGGCAAUUGGUUUUUUAAAAUCACGAAUAACUCUUAAAGAAAAAGUAGUCAUGAUUUCGAUAGUGAUUUUAUAGAGGGGUUUAGAUGCCUUUUACAAAAAUCCUUGAAGUAAUCUCUUUUCUAUUUUUACCUGAAUAACAUUUUAAGCAAGAGACUUUAAACUUUCAUUUUUCAAACUCCCUUUCUAUAGAAACAUAUUUCUUCUAUUAUGACAGAUGAAAGAUAUUCAUGAAUCAAAUAGAAAACCUAACCUGCAAUUCUUUAGCAGAAAAGAUGAUGAAAGGGCACUAGCAACUCUAAUGUAAGUUUAGGAGAGUUAUUGUGAUUCAUGACGCACUACUAUUAUUUAGAAUAUAAUCAAUGAUCAUUUAGAACAUAAUCAACGCCGAUUUAGAACAUAAGAAACUGUUAUUUAGAACAUAAGCAACGAUGAUUAAUCAAUUAUAACGCCACAAGCAAGAUCAGUUCACGAGAAGAAACAACAUAUUAGUUUGGUCAAUAAUGGACUUUCAAUAAUAUCAAGUGAAUAAUUAUGAUGAGGCCAAGGUUUUUAUGGCGCUGACAUGAUUCACAAGUGUGAAAUUUAAAAUAAAAUAAACAUGUUACCAAUCAAAGCUAAGACACACCAAUUUGUCACAAGCCCGACAAUGUAAGCAGAUGCCAAUCCACAAGAUAUCAUCAACUGGAUGAAAUGGGAACCAAGUACACAGUAAGUUGAUGAAAUUUCAGUCUCCACACAAGGUAAGUUUCACUAAGCAGUGGUUUGCUAAAAAUAUCUAGAGCACAAGUGAGGUGAAUGUUGCUUCUUUUUUGGACUUUCAGAUGGUGUUGACACAAGGUUCCAUACGACAACAAAUGACUACUAGAAGAUUGGAGACGAUUUCAAGAUCAGCUAUUUCACAAUCUAAAGGAAGAAAAGUAUGCCUUUUUCUCUCUCUCUAUCAAUGUUAAUCUGGCCUGGAAGGAGAGAGAAGGAAGGAGAGAUCCAGAAAUUGGCUUACUUUUUGUAAUUGCGCAAAAUAAUUUGCUCAUUUUGUUAAAUGAGCAAAAUAAUUUGCUCAUUUCCUUCAAAUGAGGAAAUCAAUUUGCUCAUUUCCUUCAAAUGAGCAAAACACUUUGCUCAUUUGGUUCAAAUGAGCAAUUUAUUUUUGCUCAUUUCAAUCAAAUGAACAAAUAUUAUUUUAUCGGCACGGAAGAAGCGGGAAACGACGAAUUCAAUCGAAGUUGCUCCUUCUCUGCCUCCGACGAUGGUGGAUGUCCCGACGGUACAACAGACUCUAAGGUGGUGGUUUGAUGGAGUGAGAGAAAGAAAAGAGAUUGAAUGACAAAGAAAUUAGAAUCCCCCGAAACUUUUCAUGUUAUUUUUCUUGAUUGCUGUUGGAUUUUGAUUCAAAAAGUACUUCCGCAAAUAAUUUUUUGUAUGCUUGAGUCUGCCAUAUUUGAUUGCUUGGAUAGCAGAGAGAAAAUUGAACUGAUGAAAAUCCUGGGGAUGUCGGGAUGAAGCAGAGGGAAUUUAAUAAAAAAACUCAAGAUGCAAUCUUGACCCUUCAUUUGGACGCAUGUUGA